rnacentral:rRNA from 1 species
ACGGAGGGUGCAAGCGUUAAUCGGAAUUACUGGGCGUAAAGCGCACGUAGGCUGUAGUGUAAGUCAGGGGUGAAAUCCCACGGCUCAACCGUGGAACUGCCUUUGAUACUGCACAACUUGAAUCCGGGAGAGGGUGGCGGAAUUCCAGGUGUAGGAGUGAAAUCCGUAGAUAUCUGGAGGAACAUCAGUGGCGAAGGCGGCCACCUGGGCCGGUAUUGACGCUGAGGUGCGAAAGCGUGGGGAGCAAACAG